CAUUAAAUGUCCGAAAAUAGGAGGUAGAUUUUUAAUCUACUUAUGAUAAAUUUUAUCUUUAAUGA
rnacentral:tRNA from 1 species